CAGCUAAUUUUUAUCUUCCAUUCUCUUC
rnacentral:sRNA from 1 species